rnacentral:rRNA from 1 species
AUAGCGUAUAUUAAAGUUGUUGCAGUUAAAAAGCUCGUAGUUGAACUUCAGCCUCGGCCGGGCGGUCUGCCUCACGGUAUGUACUGUCUGGCUGGGGCUUACCUUCUGGUGAGCUUGCAUGCCGUUUAUUCGGUGUGUGAGGGAACCAGGACUUUUACUUUGAGAAAAUUAGAGUGUUCAAAGCAGGCAAAUGCCCGAAUACAUUAGCAUGGAAUAAUGGAAUAGGACGUGCGGUUCUAUUUUGUUGGUUUCUAGAGUCGCCGUAAUGAUUAAUAGGGACAGUUGGGGGCAUUAGUAUUGAGUUGCUAGAGGUGAAAUUCUUGGAUUUACUCAAGACUAACUACUG